AGCAGUGGGGAAUUUUCCGCAAUGGGCGAAAGCCUGACGGAGCAAUACCGCGUGAGGGAGGAAGGCUCUUGGGUCGUAAACCUCUUUUCUCAGGGAAGAACACAAUGACGGUACCUGAGGAAUAAGCAUCGGCUAACUCCGUGCCAGCAGCCGCGGUAAUACGGAGGAUGCAAGCGUUAUCCGGAAUGAUUGGGCGUAAAGCGUCCGCAGGUGGCAAUGUAAGUCUGCUGUUAAAGAGUCUAGCUCAACUAGAUAAGAGCAGUGGAAACUACAUAGCUAGAGUACGUUCGGGGCAGAGGGAAUUCCUGGUGUAGCGGUGAAAUGCGUAGAGAUCAGGAAGAACACCAGUGGCGAAGGCGCUCUGCUAGGCCGUAACUGACACUGAGGGACGAAAGCUAGGGGAGCG
rnacentral:rRNA from 1 species